rnacentral:rRNA from 1 species
UACGUAGGGUGCGAGCGUUGUCCGGAAUUAUUGGGCGUAAAGAGCUCGUAGGCGGUGUGUCGCGUCGGCCGUGAAAACCUGCAGCUUAACUGUGGGCGUGCGGUCGAUACGGGCAUCACUGGAGUUCGGCAGGGGAGACUGGAAUUCCUGGUGUAGCGGUGAAAUGCGCAGAUAUCAGGAAGAACACCAGCGGCGAAGGCGGCACUCUGGGCCGGAACUGACGCUGAGGAGCGAAAGCGUGGGUAGCAAACAGG